UUCAGACUGGUUCGCUCGAGUUCGGGAGAGGGUGGUGGAAUUCCCAGUGUAGAGGUGAAAAUUCGUAGAUAUUGGGAGGAACACCGGUGGCGAAGGCGGCCACCUGGCCCGAGACUGACGCUCAAGUGCGAAAGCGUGGGGAGCAAACAGGAUUAGAUGCCCUGGUAGUCCACGCUGUAAACGAUGGGUGCUAGAUGUCGGGGGGCUUGCUCUUCGGUGUCGCAGCUAACGCGUUAAGCACCCCGCCUGGGGAGUACGGCCGCAAGGUUAAAACUCAAAUGAAUUGACGGA
rnacentral:rRNA from 1 species